GACGAACGCUGGCGGCGUGCUUAACACAUGCAAGUCGAACGGAAAGGCCCUGCUUUUGUGGGGUGCUCGAGUGGCGAACGGGUGAGUAACACGUGCGUAACCUGCCCUUGACUUUGGGAUAACUUCAGGAAACUGGGGCUAAUACCGGAUAGGAGCUCCUGCUGCAUGGUGGGGGUUGGAAAGUUUCGGCGGUUGGGGAUGGACUCGCGGCUUAUCAGCUUGUUGGUGGGGUAUUGGCGUACCAAGGCUUUGACGGGUAGCCGACCUGAGAGGGGGACCAGCCACAUUGGGACUGAGAUACGGCCCAGACUCCUACGGGAGGCAGCAGGGGGGAAUAUUGCACAAUGGGCGGAAGCCUGAUGCAGCAACGCCGCGUGCGGGAUGACGGCCUUCGGGUUGUAAACCGCUUUCGCCUGUGACGAAGCGUGAGUGACGGUAAUGGGUAAAGAAGCACCGGCUAACUACGUG
rnacentral:rRNA from 1 species